UACGAAGGAGGCUAGCGUUGCUCGGAAUCACUGGGCGUAAAGCGCACGUAGGCGGAUCUUUAAGUCAGGGGUGAAAUCCUGGAGCUCAACUCCAGAACUGCCUUUGAUACUGAGGAUCUCGAGUCCGGGAGAGGUGAGUGGAACUGCGAGUGUAGAGGUGAAAUUCGUAGAUAUUCGCAAGAACACCAGUGGCGAAGGCGGCUCACUGGCCCGGUACUGACGCUGAGGUGCGAAAGCGUGGGGAGCAAACAGG
rnacentral:rRNA from 1 species